rnacentral:rRNA from 1 species
AACGAACGCUGGCGGCGUGCCUAACACAUGCAAGUCGAGGGAGAAAACCCGCAAGGGCGAGUAAACCGGCGAACGGGUGCGUAACACGUGGAUAAUCUACCUCGGUGACCGGGACAACUGGCCGAAAGGCUUGCUAAUACCGGAUGAGCCCACGACGUCUUCGGACGACGAGGGAAAAGGCGGCCUCUGCAUGCAAGCUGUCACAUCGAGAUGAGUCCGCGGCCCAUCAGCUCGUUGGCGGGGUAACGGCCCACCAAGGCAACGACGAGUAGCUGGUCUGAGAGGAUGAUCAGCCACACUGGAACUGAGACACGGUCCAGACUCCUACGGGAGGCAGCAGUGGGGAAUCUUGCGCAAUGGCCUAACGGCUGACGCAGCGACGCCGCGUGAGGGAUGACGCUCUUCGAGUGUAAACCUCUUUUGCCUGAGACGAAUUGCCAGCUUUAGCUGGUUUGACUGUAUCGGGUGAAUAAGCACCGGCUAACUCC